rnacentral:rRNA from 1 species
UAUCCUGGCUCAGGAUGAACGCUGGCGGCAUGCCUAAUACAUGCAAGUCGAACGGAUAUCUUCGGAUAUGAGUGGCGAACGGGUGAGUAACACGUAGGGAACCUGCCUGCAUGAGCGGGAGAACUUCUGGAAACGGAAGCUGAUACCGGAUGAGCAAAGAGGAGGCAUCUUCUUUUUGGAAAAGGGGACAAGAGUCCCGCAUGCAGAUGGACCUGCGGUGCAUUAGCUGGUUGGAGGGGUAACGGCUCACCAAGGCGACGAUGCAUAGCCGGCCUGAGAGGGCGGACGGCCACACUGGGACUGAGACACGGCCCAGACUCCUGCGGGAGGCAGCAGUAGGGAAUUUUCGUCAAUGGGGGGAACCCUGAACGAGCAAUGCCGCGUGAGCGAGGAAGGUCUUCGGAUCGUAAAGCUCUGUUGCCGGGGACAAAAGGCAGAAAGAGUGGAAAGCUUUCUGAGUGAUGGUACCCGGCGAGGAAGUCACGGCUAACUACGUA